rnacentral:rRNA from 1 species
ACGAACGCUGGCGGCAGGCCUAACACAUGCAAGUCGAACGCCGUAGCGAUACGGAGUGGCAGACGGGUGAGUAACGCGUGGGAACAUACCCCUCGGUUCGGAAUAACUCAGGGAAACUUGAGCUAAUACCGGAUAAGUCCGAGGUUUUAAUCGACCUUGGAGAAAGAUUUAUCGCCGGAGGAUUGGCCCGCGUCUGAUUAGCUUGUUGGUGAGGUAAUGGCUCACCAAGGCGACG